UACAGGGGGUGCAACCGUUGCUCGGAAUUAUUGGGCGUAAAGCGCGCGUAGGCGGCCACUUAAGUCGGAUGUGAAAGCCCCUGGCUCAACUGGGGAAGUGCACCCGAAACUGAGCGGCUUGAAUGCAAAAGAGGGUCGCGGAAUUCCCGGUGUAGAGGUGAAAUUCGUAGAUAUCGGGAGGAACACCGGUGGCGAAGGCGGCAUCCUGGACCAACACUGACGCUGAGUGAGCGAAAGCCAGGGGAGCAAACGGG
rnacentral:rRNA from 1 species